rnacentral:rRNA from 1 species
GGGUGCGAUCAUACCAACAUUAAUGCACCGGAUCCCAUCCGAACUCCGUAGUUAAGCG